UGUCACGUACGCGUGUCUCUCCCACGACCCAACUCUAACCAUCUCUGACCAAUAACUCUCUAAAAGGGAUAAAACUCUCGCGUAUAUCUCUCCGGAGAGCCAAAUCUCUCAAAUUGUUAUGGUAGAGGUUUAAAACUAACCUAGCAGCCUCCGUUUCCUUCCAUGGUUUCUACUGUCCAAGACCUCCGAUCGAUGGUAGUUGAUCGUUCUUCGGUCCUCCGGCUAGAGCACGACCAAGGAACGACGCCUUCCAGUUUGAAGCCUACAUCGCUAGCUCUCCAUUUGAUCCACCCAUCACAAGGUAUUGCUUAUUUGUGUGAUUUGGAGCCAAGGAGACAACAGUCCAUGAUAGCUCAUGGCUUCAUAUGCAAUUUCAUUCAAAUCUUUAGUCCCUGGCGAGUUUGACCAAGAUCUGAUGGAUUAGUUACUCUCUCUCUUAUCACACGUGCUGAUUUCUCUAUGCUGAGUUUGACCAAGAUCUGAUGGAUUAGUUACUCUCUCUCUCUUAUCACACGUGCUGAUUUAUCUAUGCUGAUUUGUCACAUGCAUAUUUACUUGAACCAUUCUUACUAUUACAGUGGCACAACUGAUCACGUAUAGUUAUCUACCGAUGCAUCUUGGCUCAUGCGAAAGAAAAUUGUUCAUCCACCAGACUGGGUUUAUUACGAGUCCAAUACUGGCGGUGCCGAGUCCAAUACCAACUGCUCUGUUGCUUCUCAUCGCUGGCAUGUGUAUGGCGCCAUGCCAGUAUGCAACAACAAUCCUGGUGCCCGUAUGAAUAACUCUUGAUGUAGGUAUAUGUUGAAUCUCCAGUCUGCACACGAUCUUUCUUGAUUAGGCAUAGCAUGCGUGCAUUGGAGAAAUAUUAAUAUAAUGUAAUAAAAGAAACAUGUGUGUAUAUACUGUUUGCAUCCGAGUUGAGGUGUUUUGGUCAUGUUUUAUUUUGCACGGUGGUCAUCGACCGGUUAUAGGUUGCUCCAGGCCUCGAAGGCCCGGCGGUACUGCUCCUCCACAUGGAGAGCUGAUGGUGCUGCUGCUCCUCGGCACCUUUGAGCGGUCUGUUAAUAGGAGGCAUGAUGCGAGCUGCAAGACUUCACGACACCUUUGAGUGGUCUGCUAAUAGAAGGCAUGAGGCGAGCUGCAAGAUUUCAGGCACAUAAACAGCGCAAUGGCAAGAGCUAUAUAAUAUCACAUUGAUAUUCUGGACCCCGCAGGAGAAUAUAUAUUUAAGUGGUGUACAUGUACUAUGUAUAACUAGAAGAAGAUUACUAUAUUUGUGACUACACUAGAAAUUUAUAGUUGUUGCAGCACGUGGUUAGUUUACAAUAUCACGGUGGUGGUCAUCGACCAGUUAUAGGGUGCUCCAGUGCUCGAAGGCCCGGCAGUACUGCUCCUCGACAGGGAGAGCUGGUGGUGUUGCUGCUCCUCGGCACCUUGGAGCGGUCUACUAAUAUGAGGCGUGAGGCGAGCUGCAAGGCUUCAGGCACACAAACAGCAUAACAGCAAGAGCUAUACAAUAUCACAU